AUGGCUUCUUCCAAGCGGCCCCGUCCAUGUUCCGGCGACGGUUCCGACCACGGCGGCGAGCUCUCCCGACCUUCCAAGCGUUGGAGAUCGCUCGUCAUGCAUGUGAGGGGGAGGAGGACCAUGGGUCUGGGAGUGUUUGGCUUCAGAGGGAUCACAGGGGAGGAGUUCAUGACCAUGUUCAGCAAUAUGGUUCGGAGAGUGGUUUCGGAGGAGGUAGAGAAAGCCAUGUUCAGACAAUUCAGUGCAGCAGCAGCAGCACCUCCAAGGCUAUUAGUUGGCCAGAGCCAGCGUCCGAGGUAUCAGCUCAUGUUCUUGAAUGAUCUAAAACCUGUUUACACCAUGAUGAAGUUAGAAGCCAAGGAUGGAUCAGCCCUUAAGGUGGCCAUGGUUGAAAACCUCGAAAAUGACCAGACAAACGUUGUCAGGUUUGGUCAUCUUUCUUCGGUUAGGGUUGAGGUUGUAGUCCUCCAUGGCAACUUCAAUGCUAAAAAAGAGGAAUGCUGGACUCCUGAGGAAUUCAACAAGCAUAUAGUAUGGGGCCGAGAGAAAAGCGCAAAACUCCUCAACGGUGAUCUGACGCUGAAGCUCAGUGGAGGGGAAGCUUUUCUUGGAAGUGCUAACUUCACUGAUAACUCCAGCUUCACAAGCACUAAGAAGUUCAGGCUCGGGCUGAGGCUUGUCAAUGACUCUGGAGAGAGGGUUCUUGAAGGAAUCACUGAGCCUUUCCGCGUGAAAGAGCGCAGGGUGGAGGGAUUUGAAAAGCACUACCCACCUAAGCUGGGCGACGAAGUUUGGCGUUUGGAAAAGAUUGGUAGGAAAGGGGCUUACCACCAGGCCUUGUCAGACAGUGGAAUUGAUACUGUGCAGAAGUUAUUACAGUCUUAUGUAAAGAAUGAAGAGAAGCUAUUGAAGACUUUCCCCAAGAUGUCACCGGCAGCUUGGAAAGCCAUCAUAGGACAUGCCAUGACAUGCGAAGUUGGCGACACUCUUUACCUGCAUGAAAUUAAGGAAACCGACAUGCAAUUUUUCUUUGAUGCCAUACUUCAGCUUGUUGGGGUGAAAUUUGGUGAUCGUUACAAGCCCUUAGAUAAGAUUCAUCAACCAGAGAAGAAUUUAGUCGAGACUCUGAAGCAAAAGGCUUAUGAGAAUAUGAAGGAUAUUCAGUAUGAUCAUGUUAUGAUAAACAACCGUCCUGUACGAGUUCAUAAGUUUCAUGCAAAGGGUGCUUCUGGGUUGAGUAAUAUUCUUCAAAAUCAGCAGAUACUGAAUUAUGGUCAGCAUAGUAGGUUUCAAGGAGACUUCUUGCCUAGUCAAGGACUUGAAUCAAAGGAGAGAUUCUGUUCUUUCCAGCAAGCAACUGAUGCUUCAGUGGAUAUGUCAAGAUUUCUGCAGGGUCAGACUUCCAAUGAUGUUAGCCAUCAAAUAGUCACCCAAAAAAUUACACCAUAUGAUCCAAGCCAAGGAACUUUCUUACCUCGACCAAGAAUCACACAGCUACGUAUACCAAAUAUUGAAAGAACAGAUUUUGGUCCAGAUGCUGAAACUUCUGCUAUUGCUCAUUACAACAUUCAGGCAGGUCAGGUUGUUAUGCAAUUUGGUCAGCAUGGACAGAACCAUUCUCAUUUCUCUGAACAAUCAUACAGUAGCUUCCCUGUCGGUAGUUUAACGUCUACGGAUACAACCAUGGAUUCUAUGCAGCUUCACUCCCAGCUUACAAGCAACAGGGAGAGUUUCAGCAAGCAACCUGACCUACUAUGCAAUGGCCAAACACUACAUCAAUCAAAUCAAGUUUUUGCUGGCUUACAGCCAUCAAGAACAAACAGCUUUGACUCGGUGGAAAAUGAUCAGCUCAUACAACGCUUCAUUUCUCAGUUUUUUAGCAGUGAAGGGGCAGCGACACCUUUGUCGCCACGUAAGUGGGUUAAGAUCAAGGCAGCAUUGAAGCUAGCAUCUGUAGGGCGACUCUCCAGAGCCUCUAGAAGGGGUCUGCAUAGUCCCCCGGGAAGGGCAAGGCUGGUACCAACAACAUGA
rnacentral:rRNA from 1 species